GACGGAGGGUGCUAGCGUUGUUCGGAAUCACUGGGCGUAAAGGGCGCGUAGGCGGCCUUGCAAGUCGGUUGGUGAAAGCCCGGGGCUCAACCUGGGAACGGCGCGCGAGACGGGGGGGCUGGAGUUCGGGAGAGGAGCGUGGAAUUCCCAGUGUAGAGGUGAAAUUCGUAGAUAUCGGGAGGAACACCAAUUGCGAAGGCAGCUCGCUGGGACGUAACUGACGCUGAGACGCGAAAGCGUGGGGAGCGAACAGG
rnacentral:rRNA from 1 species